AAAUUGAAGAGUUUGAUCAUGGCUCAGAUUGAACGCUGGCGGCAGGCCUAACACAUGCAAGUCGAGCGGAAACGAGUUAUCUGAACCUUCGGGGAACGAUAACGGCGUCGAGCGGCGGACGGGUGAGUAAUGCCUAGGAAAUUGCCCUGAUGUGGGGGAUAACCAUUGGAAACGAUGGCUAAUACCGCAUGAUGCCUACGGGCCAAAGAGGGGGACCUUCGGGCCUCUCGCGUCAGGAUAUGCCUAGGUGGGAUUAGCUAGUUGGUGAGGUAAGGGCUCACCAAGGCGACGAUCCCUAGCUGGUCUGAGAGGAUGAUCAGCCACACUGGAACUGAGACACGGUCCAGACUCCUACGGGAGGCAGCAGUGGGGAAUAUUGCACAAUGGGCGCAAGCCUGAUGCAGCCAUGCCGCGUGUGUGAAGAAGGCCUUCGGGUUGUAAAGCACUUUCAGUCGUGAGGAAGGUAGUGUAGUUAAUAGCUGCAUUAUUUGACGUUAGCGACAGAAGAAGCACCGGCUAACUCCGUGCCAGCAGCCGCGGUAAUACGGAGGGUGCGAGCGUUAAUCGGAAUUACUGGGCGUAAAGCGCAUGCAGGUGGUUUGUUAAGUCAGAUGUGAAAGCCCGGGGCUCAACCUCGGAAUAGCAUUUGAAACUGGCAGACUAGAGUACUGUAGAGGGGGGUAGAAUUUCAGGUGUAGCGGUGAAAUGCGUAGAGAUCUGAAGGAAUACCGGUGGCGAAGGCGGCCCCCUGGACAGAUACUGACACUCAGAUGCGAAAGCGUGGGGAGCAAACAGGAUUAGAUACCCUGGUAGUCCACGCCGUAAACGAUGUCUACUUGGAGGUUGUGGCCUUGAGCCGUGGCUUUCGGAGCUAACGCGUUAAGUAGACCGCCUGGGGAGUACGGUCGCAAGAUUAAAACUCAAAUGAAUUGACGGGGGCCCGCACAAGCGGUGGAGCAUGUGGUUUAAUUCGAUGCAACGCGAAGAACCUUACCUACUCUUGACAUCCAGAGAACUUUCCAGAGAUGGAUUGGUGCCUUCGGGAACUCUGAGACAGGUGCUGCAUGGCUGUCGUCAGCUCGUGUUGUGAAAUGUUGGGUUAAGUCCCGCAACGAGCGCAACCCUUAUCCUUGUUUGCCAGCGAGUAAUGUCGGGAACUCCAGGGAGACUGCCGGUGAUAAACCGGAGGAAGGUGGGGACGACGUCAAGUCAUCAUGGCCCUUACGAGUAGGGCUACACACGUGCUACAAUGGCGCAUACAGAGGGCAGCAAGCUAGCGAUAGUGAGCGAAUCCCAAAAAGUGCGUCGUAGUCCGGAUUGGAGUCUGCAACUCGACUCCAUGAAGUCGGAAUCGCUAGUAAUCGUGGAUCAGAAUGCCACGGUGAAUACGUUCCCGGGCCUUGUACACACCGCCCGUCACACCAUGGGAGUGGGCUGCAAAAGAAGUAGGUAGUUUAACCUUCGGGGGGACGCUUACCACUUUGUGGUUCAUGACUGGGGUGAAGUCGUAACAAGGUAGCGCUAGGGGAACCUGGCGCUGGAUCACCUCCUUAAACGAUGAU
rnacentral:rRNA from 1 species